AGAGUUUGAUCAUGGCUCAGAUUGAACGCUGGCGGCAGGCCUAACACAUGCAAGUCGAGCGGAAACGGCAGUAUUGAAGCUUCGGUGGAUUUACUGGACGUCGAGCGGCGGACGGGUGAGUAACGGCUGGGAACCUGCCCUGACGAGGGGGAUAACCGUUGGAAACGACGGCUAAUACCGCAUAAUGUCUURGUUCRMUUAMGAGUYNRGGACCAAAGGUGGCCUCUACAUGUAAGCUAUCGCGUUGGGAUGGGCCCAGUUAGGAUUAGCUAGUUGGUAAGGUAAUGGCUUACCAAGGCAACGAUCCUUAGCUGGUUUGAGAGGAUGAUCAGCCACACUGGGACUGAGACACGGCCCAGACUCCUACGGGAGGCAGCAGUGGGGAAUAUUGCACAAUGGGGGAGACCCUGAUGCAGCCAUGCCGCGUGUGUGAAGAAGGCCUUCGGGUUGUAAAGCACUUUCAGCAGUGAGGAAGGUCGUGUACUUAAUACGUGCACGGCUUGACGUUAGCUGCAGAAGAAGCACCGGCUAACUCCGUGCCAGCAGCCGCGGUAAUACGGAGGGUGCGAGCGUUAAUCGGAAUUACUGGGCGUAAAGCGCAUGCAGGCGGUUUGUUAAGUCAGAUGUGAAAGCCCGGGGCUCAACCUCGGAACCGCAUUUGAAACUGGCAGGCUAGAGUCUUGUAGAGGGGGGUAGAAUUUCAGGUGUAGCGGUGAAAUGCGUAGAGAUCUGAAGGAAUACCAGUGGCGAAGGCGGCCCCCUGGACAAAGACUGACGCUCAGAUGCGAAAGCGUGGGUAGCAAACAGGAUUAGAUACCCUGGUAGUCCACGCCGUAAACGCUGUCUACUUGGAGGUUGAGGUUUUAGACUUUGGCUUUCGGCGCUAACGCAUUAAGUAGACCGCCUGGGGAGUACGGCCGCAAGGUUAAAACUCAAAUGAAUUGACGGGGGCCCGCACAAGCGGUGGAGCAUGUGGUUUAAUUCGAUGCAACGCGAAGAACCUUACCUACUCUUGACAUCCAGCGAAGCCUUUAGAGAUAGAGGYGUGCCUUCGGGAGCGCUGAGACAGGUGCUGCAUGGCUGUCGUCAGCUCGUGUUGUGAAAUGUUGGGUUAAGUCCCGCAACGAGCGCAACCCUUAUCCUUGUUUGCCAGCACRUAAUGGUGGGAACUCCAGGGAGACUGCCGGUGAUAAACCGGAGGAAGGUGGGGACGACGUCAAGUCAUCAUGGCCCUUACGAGUAGGGCUACACACGUGCUACAAUGGCAGAUACAGAGGGCAGCGAGACAGCGAUGUUUAGCGAAUCCCUUAAAGUUUGUCGUAGUCCGGAUUGGAGUCUGCAACUCGACUCCAUGAAGUCGGAAUCGCUAGUAAUCGUGGAUCAGAAUGCCACGGUGAAUACGUUCCCGGGCCUUGUACACACCGCCCGUCACACCAUGGGAGUGGGCUGCACCAGAAGUAGAUAGCUUAACCUUCGGGAGGGCGUUUACCACGGUGUGGUUCAUGACUGGGGUGAAGUCGUAACAAGGUAGCCCUAGGGGAACCUGGGGCUG
rnacentral:rRNA from 1 species